rnacentral:lncRNA from 10 species
GUAACCUCGCGGCGGGCGUGCAGACCGGACGCCCUCCCGCUUCUUCUACCGACUGCUAGGCACACCAGUGGGUUCAUUUUGAAAGAGGCCCUUGCACCGGGCUUUGCAAGGAAGCCGGCAAGGUUAGAUUGAAGGUUAGAAGCCAAUUAGACUAGAAUCCUGCGAUCUGGUGAGACUGCCGCCUUAAAAUGCACCAAACAGUUUUUGAACCUGGAGGGCUAACAGGCGGGAAAAACAUCUGCAAGACUGCCACCGUGUAUUUUUCUCAAGUAACAGGCUAUCCACAGUUUUGGAAUUCCUUAGUGAAACUGUCACACAGGCACAAACACAUGUCAGCUUUCCUUCUAGUUUGUAAAUAAUAUUUGUAAUUUACAGGCCACUGUAUUCCCAACUUUGCACCAUGUGAUUUAGAGAAAGCAAAGCUCCCUCUUUAAAAAUAAUAUGUUACUUCUGAAAUACCGGGAUAUUCCACGGCAAGUAAGCCAUAUUGUCGCCAGAGCAAAUAAACCGCAGCCCCAUAUCAUAAUUCACUGGGUGCUAUAAGAUGUAACUUGGCUUUGCUUUGAAUGGAAAGAAUCCUGAACGUCUGUGAUGUGAUGAAGUUUUGGAGACUGGGGGCAGGAUUUCCUUUGAAUGUAAGGAAUUCGGAUAACUUGUUCAAGGAUGAUUCUAGUGAAAAACGUUUGUCCCAUGUUUGUUGGGACAAAAAUGCUGGAUAUGGUACAACAUUCUUCCUGCAGGUUCGGUUUUGUUGAAGAGAGUGAGGCCAGCUCGAGGUGAAGGAAAAACAUCAGAAAGGUGCUAAAGUGCAGAAAUAUCUUCCAGAGGCACUAAUAGCCGACUUUAGUUCUUGACCUUUAGCUAGAUCCACAAAGCACUGAGUUAAAAUUGUACACUGAUCCCUUCCAGAACAAAUUAAUUAAUUAAAUGGUGCCUCUUCCCAGCGUUAAUCGUUUAAAAGGACUCAAGUACCCACACAGUUUAAGCAAACUAAAAGAACACUGACACUUUCUCAGAGAACAGGGAUGGGAACUUUCUAUCUGCCCAUUAGUAUCUACCCCAAGCUACGAAGACUUCCAUUCCUCUUAUUAAGCAUUCAGCAACUACAUUUAGUGCCUACUAUGCCAGUGAUGCAAGAAUGGAUAAGACAGUCCCUACACUCAAGGAUAACGCCUCUAGUAGGUGAGAGACAAACCGAUUAAUUCUGCAUAAGGGAUAAGUGCUGUAUGUGGGAAGCAAUCCAAUGAGGGCUCUGAGGAUGGCAAAGGAAGGGUUCCUGGAGGAUUUACAUUUAACUGGUGCCUUGAAAGGUGUGUAGAAGUUGGCAAGAUCAAAAGGGAGUAGAGUCCAGGUGGAGAAGAGAAAAGAGCAGGGCAGGCUGGAUGGCAUGGCUCACACCUGUAAUCCCAGCACUUUGGGAGGCCAUGGAGGGAGGAUUGAGGCCAGGAGUUUGAGACCAGCCUGGGUGACAUUAAAAGACCCUGUCUCAAAGAAAACGAAAGGAGCAGGGUAUAUACAAGGGGUCUGCCAGCCUUCUCAGCCUUUCUGUGAGAAGCGAGGGUAGGGUAGUACAGGAGAGUGGCAGGAGAUGACACUAAAAGUAGGUCUGUGUUGAUCUAACGAGUCUCAACUUUACUGCCAAAACUAAUGAACUAGGAAAGUUUAGGCAGCAAGGGCCAGAGAUGGAGUCUGGACUUGUAUUGCAGAAAGUUCCUGUGACGGCAGCUUGGAGGGUGAAUGAGAGUGUGGGAUGGAGGGGUGAAUGGGUGUGGACAGACUGGAAAAAUGACUCAUGCAGGGAAUGAGGAAGGGAGGAGCCUUGGGAGACUCUCAAAUCCCUGGCUUAGCCUACUGAAUUGCUUGCUACUUGCCUUUUUAUGUCUUCAUUUUGCCUCCCAUUGUCUGUGAUAUUAAAGGCCUAACUUCUUAGUAGAGCAAACUUUGCAUCUGCUAGCAGGUUGGUGCCCUAGCUAGCUUCCAUGCCCCUCUGCUUAGAAUGCCUGCGAACCACUAAGGACUAAUCCUAGUGGUAGAAAUUUAUUUUCAAUUGUUCUCAAACCCUUGUAGAAUUCCAAGUUAGAACUGUAGUGUUCUUUUUUCAUGUGGGUUAGAAAAUUUGCUGUUUGGAGCAACAUGGUGAAACACAGGACUUUUGAACCUGCUUAUGGUGCAAAAGGGGAAAUUAUAUUUCUACUUCAACACUGGAGGAGGGGGGACUUCUGGGAGCAAAAGAGAAAUGGAAACUGAGAUGAGACAUGUUUUUUACUCCAUGACAGAAUACAAAGAAAUACAAGGAUGAUCCUUUAAUGUUAGAAACAGUAGAAUAACCAUCCUGGUAAAUAAAAAAGGAGAAAAAAUGUUAUUUUACAUUAGAUACAGAAAAACAGAAUGGCUAAGAAAACUCACAAAGCAAUGGUCAAUCUAUAACUCGAGUCCAAAUAAAUUGUGAUAUAACACUAAAUUACCACUGAUUUGGCCUAAUUGACUAUCACUGGAUAACAUUAUAACAUGAAUGAUAAUAUUUAAAAUUUUAAAGCACUGUAACAAACACCAGAUCAUGUUAAAACUAUUCAAUCAUGUUGUCAGCUUUCAACUGCCAGUAGCAUCCUAACCACAUUUCAAACUAUGGAAAUUACUAAAAAAUCAUUAUUGUAAUAAAAAGUUAAUAGUUCCUCAUUUAGAAUACCAUUGAUAUUCCCUCAGUGCCAGGAGAACAUUAUGGUUUCUCCUAUUUCUGUGAAGUGUAUAGUCUACAGGUUCAUAAGUGAGUAUAUCCAUGAGUAUAAAAAGAAGGUCAUUUAUGGGUGGAGAGGGAAAUUAUAGAAAACAAUUUCAGAUGAAAUAAACUACAUUUUCAGAUAAAGGAAAGAGUGUUCACUGCAGGUUCCUGAAAUAUUUCAGUCCAUUCAAGUUUUAAUUAUACCAAUGAAUCUCAAUAAAAAUACAGUUAAGGAAUAUGGUUUUUAUAGAUAAUGUCAGCUCCUUGUUUACCAAUAAUAAAGAUAAAGAUAAUGGCAGCAUUUAUCUUUUUCAGUCCAAUGGGGAUAUUUAAGGUACCUAUGUAAGUGUGUGAGUGCCUGUGUGAAUUGUGACUUACUUCUUCUGCAUACCACAUUCAUAGCUCAAUAAGCUCUCACUGCCUCUGCAAUAUAACUUGUCUUUCCUGACACACACACACACACACACACACACACACACACACUCUCACACAAACAAAUCACCUAAAUAAAAAUAUCUCAAGGAGGUAUACUCUUUUAAAAUGCUAUUUUUAUUAUACCAGGAUAAAAAUAAUUGAUUGAAAGAUGGUGUCAAAACCAGAACCUAGUCUCAUGUCCUGUGCUUCCUAAUCAAUAUUUAAAUAUAGAUGGUCAAGAGAAGAUGACUCUAAAAGGCAAUCAAAAGUUGCAAACAUUCUUGUAUGGAGAAUCAAGUUUAAGUAGAUGCAUUAAAUUUAUCACAUUAAACUUCACAACAGGGUUGAGGAGAGAGGUGAGACCUUCUUUUGUAGAAUUCAAACUUGUUCAGAUAUUUGAAUACAUAUACUUGAGAGAAAGAAUUACAUGAAUUUAGUUUAUCUUCAAGGACCUUUAUAUAUUUCAUACACAACACAAUUUCUUUGUGCUCAUUAUUUAAAAAUAAAAAUAUGUAUUCUAAUAGAUACUAUGUAUAUAUUUGAUAUAUAAUACAAUAUAUUGUAUGUAUAACACGUAUAUUGCACAUGAAUGUGAAAAUAUAUAAAAUCAAUAUAUUUGCUACUAAAUGUUUAUGAAAUUUAAAGCAGUUAAAUAUUAUGCAUUUCUCAAUUAAGUUAUUUUACCUAAAAGUUGAAUCUGUAUCUUCAAUAUCAUUAUUUUAGGAUCUGGCAAUAGAGAGACAGUAAGCAAAUACAUUUUGAAAUUAAAAGUUCAAAAUCAUAGAAUUUUAGCAUUGAAUGGAAUGUUAGAGAGCAUCUGGCCUUGUUCCCUUGUUAAACCAGAGGAGUGCAUUAUUUAAGGAACUUGGCACCAUGGCAGAGCAGAACUGACAUCAGUGUCUUCUGACUCUCUCAGGCCAUUCAUUUUCAUUGUCUUUUUUUUUUUCUUAAAGACAAUAAGGACAAGAAGAAGCUCUAAAAUAGGCCUAACAGUUUCCCCAGUUUAAUGUAAGGAGGUGCUACAUGAGAUUUCCAAGAGUAUAGUUCUUCCUUCCUCUGUUUCUUCCUUCUUUCAUUUUUUCCUUCUUUUAUUCUUUCUAUUUUUUCAUCCUUUCUUUCUUCUUUCCAUACAGAAAACACUUUUCACACAAUGACUCUAUUCAUUUCACAAACAUUUAUUGAGCAUCAGCCAUGGCUAACUCCUAUUCUAGGUACUGUGGUUACAGAAAUGAACAGCACAGAUAAAUCACUUCCCUCAAAGGGGUUGCAUUCUACUAGGGGGAGACAAGCAACAAAAAAUAAGUCAAAAAUAAAAAAUAAAAGAUAAACAUAUGAGGUAAUUUCAGAUGGAGAUAAGCGCUAUGAAAUAAAGCAGGUUGGGGGGAUUUGGGAGAGAAGGUUGUGUGAAACAGGAUGGAGGACUGAGCUGGUCAUAUGCAGGCAAGGUUCUCGGUGAAGUGAGAAAUAACUGGGGAAAGAGCAUUCAAAGCAGUGGGGACUGCAUGGCAAGAGCCCUAAGGCCAGGGUUCAUGGUAGGGCUAGAGAGCCAAUGGUGAACAAAAACUACCUAACCUCAAGGAGCUUACAGUCAAGGAAGAGGGAAAAAAUGAAUCUCCAUCAAAUUAAUCACACUCAAAAUGCAAAGCUACAACCAUGAUACUUUUCCUCACUGGGAACCAUUGAAGUGUUUGAUUAUGUUAGAGGCAGGGGUGGGGUGGGGUGAUGGAACAUUAUCUAAAUUUUGUUUUCACAAAGAUAACUAGAUAACUCUUGACUGCUGUGUAAAGGCUGAUAGUCUAAUCUCAGAAGAGACUGCAUGAAGUCCACCACUGCUGAGAAUGACAGCAAACCAAAAGUGGGCUCUGUCUAGGAGGCAACAGACAGCAAAUGGCUGGGGACCCAGCAGCGGAAUGUGAUUUGGUUGAAGACCCUCGGCAAUGGGGUACAACAAACCUUAGAACCUUACAUCUCAGAGUUGAAGAGAAGCCAUAAGACUCAUGAUCCUCGAGAUAACAUAACUUGAGGGAAGGGAGAUGUGGUAUGCCUGUUUGUGUGUGACUUAUUUAUUAUUUGGAGUCAACACAAUGUAGAAAAUUCGAAAUUAGUGAAGGUAGAAUAUUUUGAUAUCAGCAGUGUUUCCAGUUCCCAGAGAUAGGGAACUGUUUGUAUUACAGUUUAUUUCCUUCUAGGCUUUUCCAAUGCAUUUUUAAAAGCAUAGUUAAUAUUGUACUAUAUAUGCAAUUUCUUUUCCAAAUUUAAUCUUUUAAGACAAUCUUAUAAAACAAAGGCCACCUCCCCCAUGUCAUUUAUAUAUAAUCUUCAUUUUUCAUGAGGUAAUGGAAGCUGGAGAGUUGGCCCUUGACCAAAGCCUUGCAGCUAACAAGAGGACAAGCCUCCUGCCCCACAGUGUUUCACAGCCAGUACCCCAAGCUCCUGAAUUCAUCUGUCUAAUGUGUAAUAUAUUUAUAAACACUCUACCUGGGAUGUAUGCGUACCUUCUACUAUGGACUGUUGUUAAAGACAAGUAAAUAUGCAAUCGUGGUCUUUCAAUAAACUAAACGGAUAUAAAAAUAAAUAUAGAAUACAGCCAGAAGAUCAAAAUUGACAUAUUAUCUAUUUAUGCUUAUAAUAUGUAAUUACAUGUAAUAUUGUAAAACACUUUCUACCAUUUCAUAAAAUUCUGUGUUGUUAUUUAGCCCAGAAUUCCCUUGCAAUCUUUUAAAAAUAGUAUCUAAUAGGGCUUUUAAUAUAAAUGUCGUAGUGAAACUGUUUUAUGUACUGUAACCCAAACAUUUCUACGUAGUAACACUGUUCCAUAUAGAAAACAAAUAUGAAAAAAUAUGGCCAUUGUCUUAUUUAUUUCUAAAGGUAAACCAAUCUUUGACAAUGCCAAUAGCAGUGUCAAUGUUCCUAAAUGUUGGCUGUAUCUAUCUACUUACUCAUUGUAUUCUUGAGGUUCCUUUCCUUUGGUUUCUAUGAUAUUCCACAUCCCUCUCUUUUCAUUCCAUUGUGUGAGUUCUCUCUGUGGAUCUUUUGUUAGCUCCUCUUAUUCCUUCUUGCCUAUCUGAGUUUCCUGAAAUUACCUUCAAAUCAUGUCUCGAAAGAUGUUCUAAAGAGACCUUUGAAUAAGAACAACAUUUGUCCCAUUAAUAAAUGGUGGGAGUUUCAUAUAUCUGUUUCUUUUUCUCUUCUUUCCUCUUUGCCUUGUCCAAAAGAGUGGGAACUGAGCAGUACAGUCAUAAAUUAAUUUUAAUAUAUUAACUUAGGCAUCAGUACACUGGCUAUUGUUCCUUAAUACAUUUAACACAUAGUCAUUGACUGCUGAUUAUGUGCCAAGGGCUGUGCUUGGCACUGGGGAUAAAGAAGUUAUUAAGUCUUUUGCAAGGUGUUCAUAGUCUAGCGGUUGGGGACAGACGUGAGGGAAAAAUCACAGUUGGAAAAGAGCGUAGCAAAUGAAACCAUUCAGUUAAAUUCAACAAACCCUGCGUGCUUACCAUGUGCCAAGCAGAUGGCAAGGAGGAUAGGACUGGGCAAGGCCUUGCUCCUCACGGACUCCCAAGCAGCUGGCAAAUGGUAAAACUACCUGAUACUUGUUAAGAGCUUCAUGGCAGAAAGAAAGUCAGAAAAAAAGUCAUGAAAGGCUAUUGGACAGACAAGAGGCUUGAUCAGAAAAACACUUUUAACAAAUAUUGUCCUAGCAACAUGAGGAGAAAGUUUGUUGUUCAGAUUUUUCAUGCUGUCAUUAUGGAAAGCUUACUACAUGUCAGGUUUCUUUCCUAGAGGCUGAGGCUUCCUUGGCUUGCCUCAGUGAAUCCCAAACUGGCCUUGCAACUCUCUCUCUUUGCCUCCCCUAGGCUUUCGGUAACAAAUCCUCAACUAGGUGAUAGGAGAUUAUCUGAUUAAAGUCAUUCACACUAAGGCGAGAAUGAGGCUUAAUCCCUCAAGAGCGUUUGCUUUAACAAAGGAUAGCUUGUUAACCCUAAUGAACUGCUCAUUGGAAGAACUCUGCAGAAGGAUCCCUCCUCCUCACCUUCCCAGACUUGCCAACCCCAUGUCCUUCCUUUUUAUUUGUCUUUCAUGAAGCAAAGGAGUAAUGAAAGUGUUAAGGACUCUAAGGUCACACAUUAUCUCCUUGAACUUAAAACAAGAGGUAUGUGAGGUAAUUAUGACCCCAUGCUCAUAAUGAGGAGACUGAAACUAGGGCGGUGGUUCUUAACCCUGACUACAUUUUGGAUAGGCCGGCUGCAACUCAGACAAAUUAAAUCAAAAUUUCUGGGAGGGGCAUCCAAGCGUCUGUAUCUUUUUUAAGCCCCUUAGAUGAUUUCAAAGCGCAGCCAAGGUUGCCAGCUUCUUGCCUAAACUCUGCAAGAAGCUAGAGUUUAGGAAAUGGAAAUUAACCAGAAUAGGUAGCAAUCCAUUGACCUGUUCCAUUUUUUCCUUUGGCAAGUAAAGUUUAUUUGGCUCAAUAGAAACAGAAUUAUCUGCAGGAAACUCGAUCUCAUAUAGAAUUAGAUUUGGGUAGGCUGGUGCCCAUAUGCAUCUAGAAAUGAGGGAGUUAGGACUAGCUGUGGAUAGCUAAACUGGUGGUGCAAGGUGGUACAUUUUGUCAUGCACAUGCUUGGAAGUGGUGCUUCUUAGGCAACCAAAAUAUGUUUCACUUUAUGCCGGGUAAGCAUUAGUGGUCCAUAGGAUUAAAAACAGAUAAGACAAAGAGUUAAGAUCACACAAAGGAGAAUCCUACAUAUUCUAAAAUGCUUAGUUUGCUGUUUGUUUAAAAUUCUAUACCCUGUCUCUUGCUAAGAAAUUGUGAUUAUAAGCACCCCCUUGAGAGUGACAUCAGAGCCUCUGAGAGAUAAAGUGUGUCCUUGGCCACUUCCUUUUGAAGAUAUACAUAUCUUCACCAGUUACAUACUCAUACAUGUAAUUAUGUGUAUUCAACAAAAGCUAUUCUGUACAUUCAAUAUAUUUUAUAAAUUCGUUCAAUAAAUUAACAUAGUUAAAUUAUAAACACAAACAAGUUAGCAGAACAUACCUCACUUGAAACUCAUUUGAAGAUAAUGCUAGACAUCUUAGUUUAUGGCCUUCGUGAAUGUGCCGUCAGUCCAGUUGACCCUCCUGGCCCCACCUGGAUGGAUCUGAAUGCCCAUGUUUCUGCAAUGGGCUUAGCAAUGAGUAACUGCUGACAGGGCCUGAUUCCAUCGAGCCCUCCCAGUAAUGAAUGUGUUUUUAGACAAUGUGGAGCAUUCUUUUCCUUUUUCAAACUUUUCUGGCCAUAGGUCACCAGCUCACCAGUUACUGCUGCAUUUUCAUUCUAAACCUUAUUGCUAUCAACUUUCCUAUCCAGUCUACAAUAGUCACUGAGCACCUGGCAUAAUUCCAGUCUUUCCUAGAGUCUGAGGCUACAUGGUAAGAAAAACUAGACCUGAAGCCUCUUGAAAUAUGCAGUAUAACAAGGACAAUGAAUAUGAAAUGGUAAAUAAUUAUGAUCAACUAAGUAAAUAAUAUAAAUGUGCAAAAUUUAGUGAAUGAGAAAAAUGAGAGUGUGUAUCUGGUGAAUCUAAACAGAUAAACAAUUAUAAUUAUUUUAUUGCUCUCUCCCUUUUUUAUUGAAUUCAAAUGUCUCACAUUAUAGUUGAAAGUCUUCACAGUAUUUGUACUACAUGUGCACAUUGAAUUCUUCUUCAUUUGUAAGGACAGAAUUCUAUUACUAGUUGCAUGAAAUAGUGACUAUUUGUGUUAAGUGGCAAGGUGUCCAUCACAUAGCCUCUAAAGGCAGGGUCGGAAGAAAUCUCUGACUGAUCAUUAGUACUAUGCUCUUGCUGUUGCAGUCUUUGGUGUUACUGUCAUUCACUUCCUGGGCUUAAUCUUUUAAGGGUAUGAUAUCUACAGACAAAGCUAGCCAGCUUAUCUUUGAUAACUUCAAGAAGUACAGCAUGUCGGCUUUUGGAUUAAUAUUUGAAAAUAAAAUAAAAAUUUAAUUUUAUUAUCACUUGUUUUGUCAAAAAUCAAAGGCUCUUUUAAAAUCUUUUUUGGCUGGAUGUAAAAUGAUUUUUUUCUGUUUCUGGAUAUAAGGUAAC